UGGGGAAUAUUGGACAAUGGGGGAAACCCUGAUCCAGCAAUGCCGCGUGAGUGAAGAAGGCCUUAGGGUUGUAAAGCUCUUUCGCCCGCUAAGAUAAUGACGGUAGCGGGAGAGGAAGCCCCGGCUAACUCCGUGCCAGCAGCCGCGGUAAUACGGAGGGGGCUAGCGUUGUUCGGAAUUACUGGGCGUAAAGCGUACGUAGGCGGAUGCGCAAGUUGGGGGUGAAAUCCCGGGGCUUAACCUCGGAAUUGCCCUCAAAACUGCACGUCUUGAGACCGAGAGAGGUAAGGGGAAUUCCUAGUGUAGAGGUGAAAUUCGUAGAUAUUAGGAAGAACACCAGUGGCGAAGGCGCCUUACCGGCUCGGUACUGACGCUGAGGUACGAAAGCGUGGGGAGCAAACA
rnacentral:rRNA from 1 species